GAAUGGACAUAACAAUUGGAACGAUCAUAUAGUAUUUAUUAAAAAAAUAAAAAAGUAUACGACAUACGCAAGACAGCUAACAGCAUACCAUGUAGGUGAAAAAAAGUAUAACAAUACUGUAAAAGUAAGUAAGGACGAAAAAAGUGACACGUAUAACUUGUAUGGCGGUUUAAGUGAAAUGGUGAAAGCACCUGGUGUUGUGAGUACAGACAGUGUGUAUGAAAAAGUAUUUAAUACUUAUAGUUCGAGUACUUAUGCUAAUAAAAAUGAAAGUGCACCUUCCAAAUAUAAUAGUAAAAAUAACAUACAAAUUGAUACAAAUAAAAGAUCUACUUCUAUAAAUAUGCAACAGAAAGGUGGCACUUUCCAAACGAGAAAUACUAGAGAUAUAUCUAGCAGUGUUGGAAUAUCUGAAAGCAAAACUAAUAAAGGUGAGUAUGUAUUUGGUAAUGAUAAAAAAAAAGAUCAAAAUGUAAAACAAUCCUAUCACCAGACGUUUGAACAAAGAGAAAAAAAUGCUAAAAAUAUAGAAGAUAACAAAAUGGAUGACUAUGAAAAUGCUUUUAAAAAAUUUUCAACAAACGUAGGAAACGGAAAUAAAAACAAAACAACAGUUAGCGCAAGAACAGAAAGCAAUUUGUCAUUAAAUGCAUGUGAAAAAUCAUAUGAAAAUUUUUUUAAAGCUUGUACUACGAAGAAGGAAAUGGAAGCUCAUGCGGUGGCAUCUAUUCCUGAGGCAUCAUCAAAUAUUUCUGUAAACCAAAACGAACAGAAUAAAAGGGAACACAUAAAAAAUAAACCUCAGAGCAAAUUUGAUUAUGUUCCUAAAAAUUAUGAAUUUUAUUUAAAUAGUAUGCAUACGUCAUUCAUAAACAUUGCACACGAUUUAAAAGAAAUAUUAAAAAAACAUCCUAAAGACUUUGAUACUUUAAAAAUGCUUUUGUUAUAUAAUAUGGAGAUUAGUAUUAUGAGAUACAAUUUUCUCAAUAUACAAAAUGAAUUAUUUAAACUUUGGAAUACUUUAUCAAACACAUAUAAUAUUGACAGUUAUUAUAAAAAUAAACAUUGGACAAAGAUUUAUACCAAAAUAAUAAAGGAAGUAUUUUAUAAGGAAAAAAAGUAUUUACAUGAAUUAUAUUGUACCCUUCAAAAUGGG
rnacentral:lncRNA from 1 species